AGAUCAGUUGGAAGCCUCGGUAGCACCAGACCACCUCAGUAGGAGAUCCCAAGUUCAGACCCCUUUCGGAAGUGGAUUUCGGAGGUUUUCCAUAAAUUUUUCUGAACUGCUGCAAGCCUCAGCGCGUGCUGGAACUGGUGUCCAAGAUCAUCUCUUCAAGCCAGCCAUAAGAGCGUGAGUGUAAGGGUAGAAUUUAGCUUGCGCAUAUGUGUAAGU
rnacentral:lncRNA from 1 species